AAAUCGAAACUCAUCUGUCCCGGACAGCAGCGGCACGGGAGAGAGUCGAGGGCGGAAACUCGAGUUAACUGCUUGAGAGGAGGCCACGCGUUAUUCAGAUUUUUCUGGGCGAUUCAGGGACGGAAGCGAUUCAGAAAAUCCACGGCAGGCUGAAUCCUUCUCCUUUUCUUCCACUUCCUUGAUUCUCCUCUUCCAAAGGAAAUUUGCAAGCCAGGACAGACGCACCAAAGUUAGGACCCUAAUGGGCCUCCUGUGACAGCAUAAGUGGAGACUGAGUGGACCUGAGAUGAAUCACUCUCUUUGCUGUGGGUGUCUGCCUCUACCUGCGAAAAACAGCGUGGCUUAGUGGAAAGAGGAGCCCGGACCUGGGAG